GAUGAACGCUGGCGGCGUGCCUAAUACAUGCAAGUCGAGCGAACGGACGAGAAGCUUGCUUCUCUGAUGUUAGCGGCGGACGGGUGAGUAACACGUGGAUAACCUACCUAUAAGACUGGGAUAACUUCGGGAAACCGUAGCUAAUACCGGAUAAUAUUUUGAACCGCAUGGUUCAAAAGUGAAAGACGGUCUUGCUGUCACUUAUAGAUGGAUCCGCGCUGCAUUAGCUAGUUGGUAAGGUAACGGCUUACCAAGGCAACGAUGCAUAGCCGACCUGAGAGGGUGACCGGCCACACUGGAACUGAGACACGGUCCAGACUCCUACGGGAGGCAGCAGUAGGGAAUCUUCUGCAAUGGGCGAAAGCCUGACGGAGCAACGCCGCGUGAGUGAUGAAGGUCUUCGGAUCGUAAAACUCUGUUAUUAGGGAAGAACAUAUGUGUAAGUAACUGUGCACAUCUUGACGGUACCUAAUCAGAAAGCCACAGCUAACUACGUG
rnacentral:rRNA from 1 species